rnacentral:rRNA from 1 species
UACAUGCAGUCGAACGCACUCUCGUUUAGAUUGAAGGAGCUUGCUCCUGAUUGAUAAACAUUUGAGUGAGUGGCGGACGGGUGAGUAACACGUGGGUAACCUGCCCUAAAGUGGGGGAUAACAUUUGGAAACAGAUGCUAAUACCGCAUAAAACCUAACACCGCAUGGUGUAGGGUUGAAAGAUGGUUUCGGCUAUCACUUUAGGAUGGACCCGCGGUGCAUUAGUUAGUUGGUGAGGUAAAGGCUCACCAAGACCGUGAUGCAUAGCCGACCUGAGAGGGUAAUCGGCCACACUGGGACUGAGACACGGCCCAGACUCCUACGGGAGGCAGCAGUAGGGAAUCUUCCACAAUGGACGAAAGUCUGAUGGAGCAACGCCGCGUGAGUGAAGAAGGUUUUCGGAUCGUAAAACUCUGUUGUUGGAGAAGAAUGUAUCUGAUAGUAACUGAUCAGGUAGUGACGGUAUCCAACCAGAAAGCCACGGCUAACUACGUGCCAGCAGCCGCGGUAAUACGUAGGUGGCAAGCGUUGUCCGGAUUUAUUGGGCGUAAAGCGAGCGCAGGCGGUUUCUUAAGUCUGAUGUGAAAGCCUUCGGCUCAACCGAAGAAGUGCAUCGGAAACUGGGAAACUUGAGUGCAGAAGAGGACAGUGGAACUCCAUGUGUAGCGGUGAAAUGCGUAGAUAUAUGGAAGAACACCAGUGGCGAAGGCGGCUGUCUGGUCUGUAACUGACGCUGAGGCUCGAAAGCAUGGGUAGCAAACAGGAUUAGAUACCCUGGUAGUCCAUGCCGUAAACGAUGAGUGCUAGGUGUUGGAGGGUUUCCGCCCUUCAGUGCCGCAGCUAACGCAUUAAGCACUCCGCCUGGGGAGUACGACCGCAAGGUUGAAACUCAAAGGAAUUGACGGGGGCCCGCACAAGCGGUGGAGCAUGUGGUUUAAUUCGAAGCAACGCGAAGAACCUUACCAGGUCUUGACAUCCUUUGACCACUCUAGAGAUAGAGCUUUCCCUUCGGGGACAAAGUGACAGGUGGUGCAUGGUUGUCGUCAGCUCGUGUCGUGAGAUGUUGGGUUAAGUCCCGCACCAACGCAACCCUUAUUACUAGUUGCCAGCAUUUAGUUGGGCCCUCUAUGGGAAUGCCGGUGACAAACCGGAGGAAGGUGGGGACGACGUCAAAUCAUCAUGCCCCUU